AGCAGAGGGAAAUAAAGAUGGAAGGACAUAAAAAAAAAACCCUCCUGUGAAGGGUUUCACUUGGGGAAAUAGAGAUUUUAUAAGAAGAGAUUAAAAACAGAAACUCACAUUCUCCAUCCAUGAGCGCUGGUAGUUUUUCUAGACUAAUGUCACCUUCAGCAACGGUCACCGUGUGUCUUCUCUCUGACUGAUAAAUUGUGCACAGCUUGUUUAAAUCCUGGCAAUGUCUGUCAGUAUAUAUACCCCUGGUUGUUUGAUUCAGUCCUAGCCUGCGUCUCGCAUGCAGAGCAUCAUGGGAUGUAGAGACAAUCGUGACAUGCCAGCUGUCACCUUAACGUGAUGUAAGUACUUCUGACAGGAGGCAAAGAAACGGCUUUUUUCCCUUUCCCCUCUCAAACGUUCACUCUGUAAGACAUUUAAUCGAUGGGUUAGAGCCAUGAGACUCGAGGAGUGAUGCAGAUAAGGAAAUUAAACAAGAAAACACAUACUUUAUUUUAGUCUUCUGCCAUGUUUUAAUUUCUCACUCUAUUCUCCAGUCUUUUGUCCAGAUAAUACAGUAACACAACCUUUCCAAAUAAUAAUAAUGAUAAUACAUUUUGAAAAAUAGGUUAGACUGAUCCGUUUCACACAACAAAGAAAUAGAAGACAAGAGCAAUUUGGCAGUCCAUAACAUUAUAAUUUUGACAUGUUUUAUCGAUAAACAAUCAAUAUAUUAAAAAAUAACGUGCAGAUUAAGAUUAGGAAAAAUAUUAAUUUUAAGGCUAAUAAUAACUCCUUUGUUCAACUGUUUUUUCUUUGUUUCUUUUGCCCGAGUUUUUGGUAAAUGUCAAGUGAAGUUGACUUCAAACUGACUAUCAUGUGUUCGACGUGUCACCUAUCUGUGUUUGAUUCACCACCUCCCUCCAAAAAUCAUCUAAAUCUUAAAAAACCUGCAAAUUGGUCACAUAUCAGCGAUUUUUCUCCCCCUGUUUUGUAAUUAUUGUGUUCAUUGUUGUCGUGCUUUCAUAAAGACAGUGUGCUCCUCUCCAUUCCCUGGUCUUUCUCUGUGCAUCACAUUCUGAGUGCUGCCGACCUCCGAGGACAUCAAAGACCAUGGCAGGCGGCCAGGGUCCACGGUUCAAAGGUCGGCGGUCAGCGAGCCGCAGUGCAUUGUGGACCCUCUGCGGAGCGACUCUCUCUCUCCUCUUCUCUCCCUCUCCUCUUCUCUCCCUCUCUGCUGAUUUUCCAUGUUCAAAGCUGCAGCUGCUGCUCCACUAACUCCUGUCCCGUGCAGCUCUCAUGCCACACAGAGGCUGCUGCUGCUGCAUAAUACUGUGAGCUCCAGUUCCCUAAGCAUGACGAUUGUCAAAGUCACUGACUCUUCCAUUUCUAACAAUGUAAUGAGUCACUGAGUAACACUUCCUCAGUGGCCGUGAGAUGUGACGAACAAGAUCAAAACUUGUGCAACGCUUGUUGUAUAUUGGACGACUUUAUUAAUAGACAGACAUGUCUCGGCUUGUGGCCUUCAUCAGGGUCAUCGCGUUUUUCGACAUGUUUUCGACUUGUGAAGUUGGUCUGUGUAUACUGCAAGUGUUGCUGGAGCUUUGACCUCCGCCCCUGAGAUGUGCCAAAAACCUCGACUCUGCGUCUUCAGCGAGAUGUGACCAAAAAAAAAAAAUUGUGAGAACAGAUGAGAGAAGAAACCUCAUCUGUAGACUUAUCUUUUCUCAUCAUCUGUCAAACACCACAGGCUCUCAUGGAGAUCAGUCUCCAUGAUCAGUCUGGUAGGGCUUUCUGCUCCUCUGCAGAUGAAGUCCUGACAAAACUCCUGAGUGUUUUCGUUUUGAUGCGGGAUGGCAGGUACCCGGCCACCGACGAAUCAUUCAAGUGCAUUGAGAAGGACGACCGAGAGCAAAGCCUCAGUCCUCUCCCUGUGUUUUUGUUUGAGUAGACAUAUGUGCAGGUCCAUAUCAGUUUGUGAUUUUUUUUUUUCUUUCUUGUGCUGUCAUGCAAAUAGUUCAGGUAGCGUUGGGUAGUUGGGUAGCGCCACUGAGUCACUUCAGCUCUCUCUUAUUAUGUCUGCCUGCAUGUUUUUCUCUCUCUCUUGCUUGUAGCCACUCCUCCUACUUCCACAGUGUGCAUCACACUUUUGGUUUGAACAGAAGGUGUUGAAGUUUGAGCCCCUUCUAAUUGUGUCUUCUUCACCUCCAACUCUUCCUCGCCCACCUCUUCCCACACCCUGGAAUUAUAGUAUAUCGCUGUGGAGCUGUGACUUUGUGACUCAAACUGCAUCUGUGGUUGCAGCAGUUUGCAGCUGCAUCAUGGAAGUUACUGGGGUGCUCUUGUCUGUAACACCAUCGGUGGAUGAAGAAUCAUGAUGCGUGUGUAGGUGUCAGUUCCUGGUAGACUGAGGGGAAAAGGGCCAUCGCUGUGGUCUCAGCAGUGUAUUGUCUCGCAGAGGGAAAGUCUCAGGAUUCCAGAAAAAAAGAUCUACAGCCUAAUGUCACAAUUCCAAGACAAAGUUCCACGGCGUCCGCAUGGACACGAAAGUGCUGUUUGCUUCAGUUAUGUUGACUUUACAAGUGUUGAUUGGAGACCCGGUGGAGCUGGGAGCGCUUGUUAACAUUGAACAAUGACAUCAUCUGCCCAAACUGGUGGCUGACGAUGUAUGUGGGCAGACUUUCUGCUCGCAUGGGAAACACAGGAAAGAAAGACCUGUGCGGUGGUGUGGAAAACGUGUGUGUGUGUGUGUGUGUGUGUGUGUGUGUGUGUGUGUGUGUGUGUGUGUGUGUGUGUGUGUGUGUGUGUGUGUGUGUGUGUGUGUGUGUGUGUGUGUGUGUGUGUGUGUGUGUGUGUGUGUGUGUGUGUGUGUGUGUGUGUGUGUGUGUGUGUGAACUCUCUGAGUCCACGUUGUACUGCUUGUAAAUGUGAUGUGGGUGAACCUGAGACUGCUGACUCACAACUCACAAGAGAUCGUGUGUUGAUAAGACAUGAAUCUUACAUUUCCGUUGAAACUACAUUUAAAUUUGUCCUAUGGCCACACUUAAAGCUUAAACUGAUCUCCAACAUUACUUAAUUUCAAAACUGUGUACCCAGAAACUUCAGGACAGUAAAAUGUCUGCCCCACACUUUACCUAUCUGGUGGGUUACAGUGUGCAGUGACAAUGACUAAGCAAUUGUUGCUUCUUAUCUUUUUUUUUUGGGGGGGGGGGGGGGGGGGGCGUAUUUUUUUAUUCAGGAUAAUAUCAUUACAAAGUUAUUUUUUAAAUAUUUUACUAAUAAAAAUGAGGAGCAAAAGAGGAUUCAAACUUUAGGUUCAUCACCUAAGUGAUAAAAACACAAUGUGGGCAAAGGGAGGCAGAUGCCGGAUGGUGUGGAGUUAGUACCUUGGAGUACGUUUAAUAUGCUAAUAUCAUUUUAUACGCAGUCAAACUGCUGUGUUCCAAUUGUAAACCACCAUUUCAAAGUUGUUUGCUUGUGUGUUUGUUUUGUCAUCUGGUUAGUCAGCAUGGUAGUAUGAAGUAAGAGGCCUCAAAGGCUUGGUUCAGACUUUUUCUUUUUUCUGUUGAAAAAACAAUGAAAGAAACCAUAUCGUGUUAUUGUUGCUGUGGAAAUUGCCUGUAUUUGCUUUUUUUUGCAGGGAGACAGGAGCACCAGGCUCACGCCGGUACGGUUGACCCUCACAACAGCAUGAUGAACCUGGACGGAGAACGCGAGAACCUCUGAGGUGCCCCUGAGCAUGGCUGUUGACUGCUCAAUAGCCUGCAGGUCAGGCUUUACUGGGUUGUAAUAAUUGCUUUCAGCGUAAUGCUCAACCCUCCAGCAUCACAGAGCUGGAACUCCUCCACUGCGUCGUCGUGAGGCUGCUGAAGAGAAGCCGCGUGGACUAAGUCUGCUUCAUCCUCAUGACCUUCCCUCGUCUCAUCUUCCUCAAAGUCAUCUGGAUAGUCGACUUGUUGUGAAAUGUCGGGAACCUCUGGUAAUGGUGUAGGAGAGAAAGAAUCUGCUUUUUAAAACAACUUCUAUAUUUAGAUGCUCACAUUGUAAAACUACCAAAUGUUCAUCAAAGGGCACAAAGGUUUAAAAAAAAUAAGUUACUGACAAAACAUGAAAGAAAAACUUUACUUCAUUUAACAUGGUACAUUCAAUAUUUUGUAAUGAUUAAUACCAUGUGUGUAUAUCUGUUUUGUAAAAACUAUAAUUAGCUAUAAAUCAAACAAAAAUUUGAAUCAAAAUCAGACUAAGAGGACAAAAUAUGUAUGAUAUGUACCAUUUGAUGAUACUUUAUACUUCUUCCUUUCUCCUCAUGGUUUCAUUUUGGGUCUAGAGAAAGGGACGUUUUAACAAGCUACUGAUGAAUUAGCAAUGAUAAUCUAAUAAUCAAAUUUAAAAUAAAUAACACUCAUGUGGCCA